rnacentral:lncRNA from 1 species
GCUUUGUUUUAUGCCUUCCUUUAAUUUAAUCGAGGACCAGUGAGGAAACAGAAGACAGAAAAACAUAAUCUGCACAAAUUCCAACAAACUAGCGGUAAUCACACCCAGGCAACCAGGUUGGAGCAGCCAGGCGCUCGUUUUUCGUUGGCCUGGGUGAGGCCGCCGAUGCCUGGCUCAGGCACGUAUCCAAGGUCUCGAACCAAACGCAUCACAGGCAGCGUCCAGGUAGGUGACAGGCCAGGCAAGUUUGUCCCUGGCUACUAUGAACCAAACAGGCCCGAAUUGCUGGGCAAUCC